AACGAACGCUGGCGGCAUGCCUAACACAUGCAAGUCGAACGAUUGCCUUCGGGUGAUAGUGGCGCACGGGUGCGUAACGCGGGGGAAUCUGCCCUUAGGUUCGGAAUAACAGCUGGAAACGGCUGCUAAUACCGGAUGAUAUCGCGAGAUCAAAGAUUUAUCGCCUGAGGAUGAGCCCGCGUUGGAUUAGGUAGCUGGUGGGGUAAAGGCCUACCAAGCCGACGAUCCAUAGCUGGUCUGAGAGGAUGAUCAGCCACACUGGGACUGAGACACGGCCCAGACUCCUACGGGAGGCAGCAGUGGGGAAUAUUGGACAAUGGGCGCAAGCCUGAUCCAGCAAUGCCGCGUGAGUGAUGAAGGCCCUAGGGUUGUAAAGCUCUUUUACCCGGGAAGAUAAUGACUGUACCGGGAGAAUAAGCCCCGGCUAACUCCGUG
rnacentral:rRNA from 1 species